rnacentral:lncRNA from 1 species
UUCCUUCUAAAUUCAUCUUCAUCUUCAUCUUUCCCUCUCUAAAACCAAAAAAAUCAUAAAUCCAACAAAAUAAUGAUCCAAAAACAACACCAGGAUAACAACAACAAUAACCUCAUUCUAGCUACAUAAAGAAGCAAAUGUUUCCAGGUAAAGGUAGAUCCGAGUCAUCACAAAUAGCAACAAUAGAAUCCUUGAGAGUGAUACAGUUAGUAACAUUAUUAGGAAAAUACUUAGUAUAUUGAAGUGAAAGAGAUUUAUCACAAACAACAAGCUCCCAAAUUUUCUUUCCUCUAACAUCAAGAAUUAGUCUAGAACAAAAUCCAACUCCCAGCUUAAUAUGCUAUUAGCAUCGGCUUUUGGGUUAAAAUAACAUGUUUCAGCAUUUAGGUCUUCUUUCUCUUGCUCUUCUUCAAGUUGUUUUUGUGUUGUUGUUGCUGCUGCUGAGAUUUAUGAGCGAUGGUUUUGGCACAUGUACGUACACCGACGACGAUGGCGUGGGAGGGUGAAUCCAUGAUUACGGCGGCGACGUCACCCGCUGAGAGGAGAAGCAGGAAGAGAGAGAGAGAGAGAGGAGGAAAUGGAGGGAAUGUGAAUGACUAAAUUUUAUGGUCGGUGGCGAGCAGGGGUGGUGGCCGGAGGAUGGUGGCGGCAGAAAACAGCAAGCUGAAGAGAGAAAUAACUUAACGACACAAUGAAGAAGAAGAUGAAAUUUGAGUUGGAUCCUUGGGCCGGGUCAUAUUACCCAUUUUAUUAAGCCCGAUCCAUUAAAAAACUGUAACAAAAAGAAUAUAUUUGCCACAUCAUUAUUGUGUCUCAUGACUGGGUAGAAUUUAAGAGAGAGACUAUUUAUGCUAACGGAGUAAAACAGUAGGGAUUUUAAAAAUAUUUAUUGAAACGUAAGAACUAUUUUUUAAAGGAGCACAAAAUGUAGGGACCAAUAACAUAUUUAAUCCUUAAAUUAAUAAUGAAGUUCCUAUCAAGGAAUUGGGACCGUAUAAAGGUUGGAAAAAUUAUGUAAAGUGCCGUGUACAUAUUUGUACUUGCAUUUACUGAUAUACAUAUCUUUAAUAAACAAUUUUGAAUCUCAAACUGUUGCUUGAUGUUGUUAUAGGAUAGGAUAUUAGCCAAUAAUCUAGUCUGUGUUUAUACUCAGGGAAUUGGGAGUAUACUCUUCUCAAUUAAAUUAUAUUUUUUUUAUGUAAUGUUUGAUUGGGUCAAGCAUUUUGCGUGUAUAUCAUAUUAGCUUUAGUCAAUGACAUAUGUAUAAAAUAUGCACCAAAUAGAAAUUUCUGUCAAGAAUUUUGGAAGUUUUUUCCCCUAAAAUAAUAUUAAUGUCAAUUUCCUAUUUAUUUAACGAAGCAGCCUGCAUACCAGCUGGCUUCUCUUAGUCCUAUAUAGUAUUAGACUACAAUUAUUAUUUUGACAAAAUAGACUACAAUUAUUAAAAAUAUAGAGCAUGUUAUUACUUAAACGUAUAGUAUAAAAUACGUUUAGAGGAUUAUGGAAAUUGUGUACAAGAAAAAAAUUCUAGCUUAGUUACAUUGAACUUAACAUGAUAAAAUUGAAGUUUCAAAGCAAUCUUGCAAUACAAGUUGACUAAUAUUUUUAAAGAAAAAUUUAUGAAAGAUAACUAACAGUUUAGCAUGAAUAAGUCUCGGAUCCUCCCUGCGGUACAACAGUGCAAUAAAUUUUCUAUGAAGAAUUAUUCAUUGUAUUGUUGUACUGUGAGAGGGGAUGCAAAUGACUAGCUAAUUAGACCGCCACUUGUCACUUUUAAAAAAGUCUAACUUUUGACAUGCCACAUGAGUCACAGAAAGUGGCAAUGUGCUCUCAUCACUAAUGGUCUAUUUAUAUUUUAAAUUGGCUAGGGAAGACUCACCAGUCACCAGCAUGCCUUGGUGAAACAUUUGAGAACAAUUAUUUUCUUCUUCCAAUUUUCUUGUUCCUUCCAUCAUAGCUAUGAGAGUUCUAAAAUCCUCAACUAUUUUAUUGCUUCUCACAAUUCUGUUGUCUGUAAUGCAAGCUACCACGUCUCGAAAUUCGGUCACUCAUGUUACACUUGUUGACAUGGAAAGGAGAUCAGAAACAAAGCUAUCUUCCAUGUUUGUACAUAGUUAUUCUGCUAUUCUCACCUCUUUGAAUAAUAAGAAGGGUAAGUUUCAUGCAGUUUCUCGCCAUGUAGUUCCUUCUGGACCAAAUCCUCUGCAUAAUUAAUCAGAUAUGGGAGUUUUUGUGCUCAUGAUAUUUAAUAUUUGGUUAGUUUUCGUGCAUACUGUAUUCAGACUUGAAGACUUGUAGAAGUUCUUAGUUGAUUACAUGUAUAUAAUAGAUAAAUAAAUAGAAGAUCGAAGCUUGCAAGUAUAUAUUGUGUUUUUGUUAUGGUUUCUGAUUAAAUACAAGACUAAAAGUUUGAAGUUUCCAAUCAUAUUUUAGUUUUACAUAUCUUGGUGCCAGAUAGUUCAAUAACAAUGGUGUGAUAUAGAUGAUUGUAAAUUAAUUAGUGUUUGUAGUGUCAACCUAGUUAGAAUCACUCACUCAUGUAAAAAAUGUUUCCCUUGAUAGAUAGGAGGGGCUAGAGCCCUGACCUGCUUUUACCUAGGGCAUGUUUGAAUUAACUUAUUUGAGUUUACAUACUAAUAAAUACUUGAGACAUUCUUUGAAAGAACUUAUAAAAGUAGCAUAUCCCAUAUUUAAAAGUUGAUCUCAACUUAUUUUCAUAAGCUCUCCAGGAUAGCUUAAGAAAAUAUCUUAUAACUUGACUUUAUCUUGUGUAAUAAAAAUAACUUAUUCAUAAGCAUUUAUAUAACAAGCGCUUAUGCUAUAAAUUACAAAAUAAUUUGUUUAUCCAAACAGAGCCUUAGAUUAGUGACCGCAAGUUUUGGUAUAUUAUUUAUUCUCUGUCUACCCUCUCUGUUUUUUCCAAGUACAAAAAGUAAGCAUGAUUUUUCAUCAAAUAAGAUGGACAAUUUUUUUGCAUGUAAUAAACAUUAGGUUACUUAGCCGCUAUUGGUGCUCCUUAAUACGGUACAUCUUAUUUACCUAACUUGUGCAUAUUUGGUC